UAAUGUAUUUAUAAUUCUUACUUCAUUUCUUCUGAUACCUAAUGUAACCCCCCAAAAUCUCAAUCCAGUUUGAGCUUUGAUCUCUUUUGAAGGAUGUCUCUCUUUUACCCAAAUAGGUUUAGAAUUGUUUUGUUGGACCGCUCUUACAAAUACUUUUUUUUUUUUUUUUUAGUAUUUCAGACUCAGAAAAAAGCUGCAAGAAUAAGAUUAGUAAAAAGAACACCCAAAUACCUUUAAGGCAGAUUCACCCCUCACUGGCGUUUGGUCCCAUCUCUGUUUGUUCUCAAUCUCUUUCCGCAUAAUGCGCACACGCAGGCGCGCAGAUGCACGCAGCACGCACGCACAGACGCGCACAGACGCGCACAGACGCACACGUGCAAGCAUGUGCGCAGACACGCAUAGGCGCGCGCACGCACCUUCUCCCCGAAGCGCUCGUGGGUAAGUUAUGUGCCUUUUACCCCGAACUACUUCAUCGAGUCGCCUAAGACGAGGGAGACUCUGUUUUCAACUUCAGUAACUUAACACUAUACUUCUUAAGCGCCGACCGCGUGGCAGACCGGAGUCCAG